AUCCAGCCGACAAGUCCAGAGUAGGACGAAACACGCGUCCUGGAC
rfam:Schistosoma haematobium scaffold151_17, whole genome shotgun sequence.